AUUGAACGCUGGCGGCAGGCCUAACACAUGCAAGUCGAGCGGAUGAUGGUAGCUUGCUACCUGAUUCAGCGGCGGACGGGUGAGUAAUGCCUAGGAAUCUGCCUGGUAGUGGGGGACAACGUUUCGAAAGGAACGCUAAUACCGCAUACGUCCUACGGGAGAAAGUGGGGGAUCUUCGGACCUCACGCUAUCAGAUGAGCCUAGGUACGAUUAGCUAGUUGGUGAGGUAAAGGCUCACCAAGGCGACGAUCGUUAACUGGUCUGAGAGGAUGAUCAGUCACACUGGAACUGAGACACGGUCCAGACUCCUACGGGAGGCAGCAGUGGGGAAUAUUGGACAAUGGGCGAAAGCCUGAUCCAGCCAUGCCGCGUGUGUGAAGAAGGUCUUCGGAUUGUAAAGCACUUCAAGUUGGGAGGAAGGGCAGUAAGUUAAUACCUUGCUGUUUUGACGUUACCGACAGAAUAAGCACCGGCUAACUUCGUGCCAGCCGCCGCGGUAAAAC
rnacentral:rRNA from 1 species